rnacentral:rRNA from 1 species
AUUGAACGCUGGCGGCAGGCCUAACACAUGCACGUCGAACGAGUGGCGGACGGGUGAGUAAUGUCUGGGAAACUGACCGAUGGAGGGGGAUAACUACUGGAAACGGUAGCUAAUACAGCAUACCAUCGGAUGUGCCCAGAUGGGAUUAGCUAGUAGGUGGGGUAACGGCUCACCUAGGCGACGCUCCCUAGCUGGUCUGAGAGGAUGACGAGCCACACGGGAACAGAGACACGGUCCAGACGCCAACGACAGGCAGCAGUGGGGAAUAUUGCACAAUGGGCGCAAGCCUGAUGCAGCGAGGCCGCGUGAAUGAAGAAGGCCCUCGGGUUGUAAAGUACUUUCAGCGAGGAGGCGUUACUCGCAGAGGAAGCACCGGCUAACUCCGUGCCAGCCGCGGCGGUAAUUC